UGGUCUCAAACUCAUGAUCUCAGUUGAUCCGCCCACCUCGGCCUCCCACAUUCAGACUGUACAAAAUCCUGAGGUGAAUGGCAAGAUGGCUGAAUAAGAACAGCUCCAGUCUGCAGCUCCCAGUGAGAUCAAUGCAGAAGGCCUUCAGUACAUCUUUAUUAAUCUGACUGCCUGGUUGCAGUUACAUUUGAGAAUAAGACUGAGAUCAAAUUCCACGUUUAGAGUGAGAAAUGACUGCAGUUGAAGACUUGGUUGCAAGAGUCUAAGAAGACACCUCAGGGAGAGAGACAGGAUCCAAAACAAGAUUGCUGGCUGAGGAAUGGGACAAGUCACCAGCUCAGAAGUCUCAGGACCAGCGACAUCAAGAGCAGGAAGUGGCCAGUGCCUCAACUUCACUCCCCUCUCCCUCCUGGAACAGGCCCUCCAUCACCGUAGAUAAUUCAUGUCACUGAAUGGAACAUAGGUGAGAAGUGGGAGAAAGAACGAAAAUCUGGAGGUUGGAGGAUAAACAAACCCACAUCCUUGUGGAUGAAGAAGGAUACCAAAAACUCAUUUUCCUGGAAGGAGCAAUUUUUGAAAUCAGCUACACUGAGGCUGCAGAUUGAGUGAAGGUCUUUUCCAUGUGAAUUUGUCCUGCAUCUGGGAUAAAGGUAUAAUGAUUACCUAAAGCAUGUUCUGUUCAUGGAAGAUCACUGGAACACAAAAGACCAAGCUCACAGCAUAUUCAAGACAUCUGCUCGUAUUCCACUGGCCAAAGAAAGUGAUGUGGCCCAGCCUAAAGUCAGGAACAGGAGCAGGAGGCUUUGACAACUGAGAUCUUCGAUCAUGAGUGUUGUGAAUGCAGACGGGGUUUUGUACUCCAGGCACUGUGCUAGGCACCAGGACUAUAAUACAACUUGUGAUCUGUAGAGGAGUCAGACAAUUAUCCAGGCAUCCCAAAGAAAUGUCAAUUGCAAGCCUGGAUCCCUUUUUCCCUGGAGGCUGUUCUGAAGAUGGCACCCUACCUGCUCACCUUUUAGUGUACCUGGGCACCCAUGCCUCCAUAUGGUGACCCUCAAAUCAUACUGUAUGAAGAGCAGCUGUUUUGUCAACUAUUUUUUAAUGAGAUUUUUUUUGCUUUGGUUUAAAAAAUAGCAUAUAUUUGCGUUAGAAAAUUAGAAAUACAGAAGAAACAGAAAUAUAAAAGAAUUACCUAUAACAUGCAAAAAUGACUAGUACAAAUGUUUUUGUUUUUUUACAGUAUGUGAACAUAUUGUAUGUUUAUAUUAAUAUCCAUAGUAUUUAUUUUUGCCUACAUGUUUUACUUAACAUAUGUAGUAAGCAUUUCCCAUGUUAGUCAAAUUAUUUGUGGACAUUAUUUUUAAUGACUAUUAAUGUUAUUACUCUACAGCUUGCCGAAUAAGUCUCCUAUUAUAUGUCAUUUUGGGUCCUAGCAACAUUUUUGUGUUUAAAUCCUUGUAGCAGUUUUGACUGAUUUCCUUAAGAUAGAGUCCAAGAAGAGAAAUAAUUUGCUUGUUUGUUUAUCAUUUGGUACUUUCUUUUAUGGUAAUGUCCUUGGGGCUGAUAAUUCAGAACCAUGAAUAGAUAUGAUUCUUGUCUUUGAGGAGAUUGUAGCCUUGUGCUAGGUUAAAGAAUAGGCACGUUUUAAAGUUCUCGAUACACAUUUUCAAAGUGCUUUUCAAAAAUUUGUAUCAAUUCAUCCUUCUACUAUAAGGGAAAAUCUGUUCUGGGUUGUUUUUCUGGUAUAUCUUCCUAUUAAGAACCUGUUCUCCCUCCUGCUUUGUGACUCACAUGGAGUUGCCACUGCAUGCUAUCAUCUCCAUCCCUUAGAGCAACCUAUUAGAGAACUUACUCUCUGGAGUCCCAAAAGAGAAACAACAGCAACAACUCAGCAAUUCAUCUGGGGUCAGCGUGUUACCCAGUCUGGGCCAUUGGAGAUUUUUUUAAAGGGAAGUUUCUCCUAUUUUCUUCAAAAUUCUGAGCUGUGAAGAGGACCACUAGAAAGUUCAAUCUAUUUAUGAUUUUUUAAAAAACUGUUAUUAUAUAUAUUUAAGUGUAUGUCAUGUUUCCACACAUAUAUACAUAGUGAAAUGAUCACUGUAAUCAAGCUAAUUAGAAUAUCCCCCAUCUCGCAUAGUCACCUUUGUGUGUGAAAAGGGUUCAGUGCUUCCCUCUCCACUCUUCAUCUCCCCUUUAAAAAAGCAGAGAUGAAUGGAGAGGGAAAGGUUGAACAAUGGUUAUGUGGUGGGACUGCUGGGAUUCACCUGAGAGUUAAAACCAGCUAGUUCUACCCGUAUGUUUUUCACUUAGAUAAGCCAACAAAUUAAUUUCUUUUCCUCUAUUCUUCUUGUCUUCUUUCCUGCCUCUUUACCUGUCUCCCUUCCUUCCUCUCUUCCCACUCUCUUUCUUUCCUUAUUUAAAUUGGUUUGAAUUGAGUUUCUGACACUAAUGGAGAGUCCUUAUUGUGCCUUCACGUUAUUUUUAUCAAACCAGAAAAUGUUAAUGACAUAAAACAAUUACUGUUUGGACAAGGAAAAUUGUAUUUCUUUCCUUGAAAUUUCUACACACAUACACAUUUGUGCUUGUUAGUGAGGCUAAGCAUUUUCCCCCUUAUUUGUGAAUUAUAUAUUCAAUGUUUUGAUCCAUUUAUCAAAUAAAUUCCUUAGUUUAAAAAAUAUUUGCAGGUGCGGUUAUUAUGGAAAGCAGCAUGAAGUUUCCUCUAAAUAUUAAAAAUAGAAUCACCACAUGACUCAGCAAUCCCUCCUCUCUAUAUAUUUUUAAAGGAAAUGAAAUCAGCACUUCAUGGAACUAUCUCCACUCCCGGCUGGGCGCAGUGGCUCACGCCUGUAAUCCCAGCACUUUGGAAGGCCAAGGC
rnacentral:lncRNA from 1 species